GUGUGUAUCUCUGCUCUCAUAUGUUGGCCAACAUGCUGUGUGUGUCUCUUUCUCUCCUUGUACUGUCUCCUUGCAUAGAACAUGGGCAACGGUGCAUGCUCACAGGCUUGGUCUGGAGAGCCUGCAUCCCACUGGUGCAUUUGGAGGGGGAAGAGAAUCAUGAUAGGUACUAAAUCCUCCAUUGGUAGUGGUGGGGGUGACUGUGGGAGUUGACUGUCACUGUCCAUCAAGUGGGGCUGAUGUACAGUGGAUGGGAGAGGGAGGGCAGUAGUAUCUCGUACACCAAUAGAACUUAGGGCAGUGAUGGCUCCUGCUUGGGUUAUAUGCUGUGUUUGCAGAGGAAUCGCCCAGGAGCCCCAGCCAGAGGAGAAGCUGGAAGAAGUGAACCUGAGCAGCCUGGACAUCCUUGUAAGCAGAGAUGAACAGUCCUCCGCUUUCUGUCUUCUGCAUGACUGGCUUACCAAGGGGAAAGAAGUCAAGGGUAAGAGCUCACCCCAGUUGUGAGAUGGAAAGCGCACAAGAGCCGUGAGACAGCGAGCAUUGUUGAUGCCAGGCUAUGCAGAUGCUGUCGAGCUGGGAGUGGAGCAGCCGUCACCAUCAGUGAGAUAAGUGUCUGGUUUGGUGAGGACUCUGGUAUGGCCCACCUGCCUCCAGGCCAGGACUUGUCAUUAGCUGGGGUUCGGUUUGCUGUGGUUAUGAGGGGAAACCAGAUCCCCAUUUUCAGAAGCUGGUCAUUUCUGUGGCCAGGAAUAGUGUGUCCUUGCAGCAGAAGGUUGGAUCGAGGGGGAUGGCUCCAGGUGGUGAGUUUCUUGCCUCCCCCGCAUGUUUUUCUCUCUCUCUCCUCUAAUGUGUUGGUCAACACAUUCACACACACUCUCUCUCUCUCUCUCUCACUGUCCUUGCCUUUUCUUGUGCUGUCUCCCCCUUCAUAGGACAUGGGCAGAUGUGCUAGGUGUACAUCCCCACAGGCUAUGUCUCGGGAGCCGUGGAGAAGUAGGAGGGGACAAAAAUCAUGCGGUAUAGUGGGUGCAAGAGUGGAGCGGUGACUGUCGGUGUUAAGUCGGUCUCUGUUCAUAGAGUGGGGCUGAUGUAGAUGGGAUGGGAGCGGGAGGCAGGGAUGAGGGCAAGAUUUCACACACCGAUAGAGCUGUGUAUAGUGAUGGCUCAUGCUUGGCUUUUGCAGCUACCCUUGCAGAGGAAUUGUCCAGGAGCCCCAGCCAGAGGAGAAUCUGGCAGAUGUGGACUUGAUCAGCUUGGACAUCCUUCUCUUCAGACAUGAACAGUCCUCAACUUUCUACCUCCCACAUAACUGGCUUAGCAAGGGAGAAGAAGUCGCGCGUGAGAGUCUACAGCCUCACGCGAUGGAAAGUGAGUGAGAGUGAUGGGACCACGAGCAUUGUUGAUGCUACGCAAAAGCCGUCCAACUGGGAGUGGAACAGCUGCCACAAGGCCCGCUCCAGGUCAGUGGAGCAGUCCCGGAGCUGCAGGUAGAGGAGGAGCAUCUGGAGGAUGUGGAUGUGAGCAAUCUAGACCUUUCACUUGGCAGUGGAGCCGAGGAGCCCUCUCGUGAUGUUGGAGGAACAGAAAGAAGAGGUGUGUCACAAAUACUGCCCCUUCUGGGUACAAGAG